GACGUAGGGUGCGAGCGUUGUCCGGAUUUAUUGGGCGUAAAGAGCUCGUAGGCGGCUUGUUACGUCGGCUGUGAAAACCCACAGCUCAACUGUGGGCUUGCGGUCGAUACGGGCAGGCUAGAGUUCGGUAGGGGAGACUGGAAUUCCUGGUGUAGCGGUGAAAUGCGCAGAUAUCAGGAGGAACACCGGUGGCGAAGGCGGGUCUCUGGGCCGAUACUGACGCUGAGGAGCGAAAGCGUGGGGAGCGAACAGG
rnacentral:rRNA from 1 species